AGAGCGAACGCUGGCGGCAGGCCUAACACAUGCAAGUCGAGCGCCCGUAGCAAUACGGGAGCGGCAGACGGGAGAGUAACACGUGGGAACGCGCCCUUCGGUUCGGAAUAACUCAGGGAAACUUGAGCUAAUACCGGAUACGCCCUUACGGGGAAAGAUUUAUUGCCGAAGGAACGGCCCGCGUCCGAUUAGCUUGUUGGUGAGGUAAUGGCUCACCAAGGCGACGAUCCGUAGCUGGUCUGAGAGGACGAUCAGCCACACUGGGACUGAGACACGGCCCAGACUCCUACGGGAGGCAGCAGUGGGGAAUCUUGCACAAUGGGCGAAAGCCUGAUGCAGCGACACCGCGUGAGGGAAGAAGGCUUUCGGGUUGUAAACCUCUUUCAGGAGGGACGAAGCUACUCGGGUUAAUAGCCCAGAGGGUGACGGUACCUUCAGAAGAAGCCCCGGCUAACUACGUGCCAGCAGCCGC
rnacentral:rRNA from 1 species